rnacentral:rRNA from 1 species
UACGAAGGGGGCUAGCGUUGUUCGGAAUUACUGGGCGUAAAGCGCACGUAGGCGGAUCGAUCAGUCAGGGGUGAAAUCCCAGGGCUCAACCCUGGAACUGCCUUUGAUACUGUCGAUCUGGAGUAUGGAAGAGGUGAGUGGAAUUCCGAGUGUAGAGGUGAAAUUCGUAGAUAUUCGGAAGAACACCUGUGGCGAAGGCGGCCAACUGGUCCGGAUCUGACGCUGAGGCGCGAAAGCGUGGGGAGCAAACAGG